UACGAAGGGGGCUAGCGUUGUUCGGAAUUACUGGGCGUAAAGCGCGUGUAGGCGGGGCUUUAAGUCAGGGGUGAAAUGCCAAGGCUCAACCUUGGAACUGCCUUUGAUACUGGAGAUCUUGAGUCCGGGAGAGGUGAGUGGAAUUGCGAGUGUAGAGGUGAAAUUCGUAGAUAUUCGCAAGAACACCAGUGGCGAAGGCGGCUCACUGGCCCGGAACUGACGCUGAGGUGCGAAAGCGUGGGGAGCAAACAGG
rnacentral:rRNA from 1 species